rnacentral:rRNA from 1 species
AGAGUUUGAUCAUGGCUCAGGAUGAACGCUAGCGGCAGGCUUAACACAUGCAAGUCGAGGGGUAGAGGAAGCUUGCUUCCUUGAGACCGGCGCACGGGUGCGUAACGCGUAUGCAAUCUACCUUAUACAGGGGGAUAGCCCAGAGAAAUUUGGAUUAAUACCCCAUAGUAUAAUUGAAUGGCAUCAUUUAAUUAUUAAAGUUCCAACGGUAUAAGAUGAGCAUGCGUCCCAUUAGCUAGUUGGUGUGGUAACGGCACACCAAGGCGACGAUGGGUAGGGGUCCUGAGAGGGAGAUCCCCACACUGGUACUGAGACACGGACCAGACUCCUACGGGAGGCAGCAGUGAGGAAUAAUGGUCAAUGGGCGCAAGCCUGAACCAGCCGUGCCGCGUGCAGGAUGACGGUCCUAUGGAUUGUAAACUGCUUUUGUACAGGAAGAAACACUCCCUCGUGAGGGAGCUUAACGGUACUGUAAGAAUAAGGAUCGGCUAACUCCGUG